rnacentral:rRNA from 1 species
AGUGAACGCUGGCGGUAGGCCUAACACAUGCAAGUCGGACGGCAGCACAGUAAGAGCUUGCUCUUACGGGUGGCGAGUGGCGGACGGGUGAGGAAUACAUCGGAAUCUACUUUUUCGUGGGGGAUAACGUAGGGAAACUUACGCUAAUACCGCAUACGACCUACGGGUGAAAGCAGGGGAUCUUCGGACCUUGCGCGAUUGAAUGAGCCGAUGUCGGAUUAGCUAGUUGGCGGGGUAAAGGCCCACCAAGGCGACGAUCCGUAGCUGGUCUGAGAGGAUGAUCAGCCACACUGGAACUGAGACACGGCCCAGACUCCUACGGGAGGCAGCAGUGGGGAAUAUUGGACAAUGGGCGCAAGCCUGAUCCAGCCAUACCGCGUGGGUGAAGAAGGCCUUCGGGUUGUAAAGCCCUUUUGUUGGGAAAGAAAAGCAGCAGGUUAAUACCCCGCUGUUCUGACGGUACCCAAAGAAUAAGCACCGGCUAACUUCGUG